rnacentral:lncRNA from 1 species
AACUGUCAUUUUAUUACCAUUGUUUUAUUUUUCAUUAUAAACUUAAGUAUUUAUCAAAAAGUUAACAAUUUGGUGAUUAAAAUUAAGAUACUUUUCCUCCACAAGAUUUUGAUCAUUUUUACGUAUUUGAUGUGAAACUGUGCUUCUGUUGCUAGGAGGCCUUCCCUCCUCUACAGGAAUAAUCAAAAUUGGUUUCAAUCAACAUUAGGCCCCUGUGGAAUCACAGGCCCCAAGUGGAUUGCUAGGCCCCAGGUGCACAUCAGGCGCAGGUGUACAAGCAGGCCCUGGGUGGACUUACCUAUGUGCAGGGAAAGAGUUGACCUGGGGGGAGGGUGAGCAGUCAGCAGCCCAGGGUGUUCAGAGUAGAUCUUAUGGAAGAAAGGGGCUGAGGGAACCUUAAGGUUCCCUCAAAGAAGUGACUUCACUUAACCUUAAGUGAACCAUAAAGAAGUGACUUCACUUCCUUGGUGACAGACCCUAACAGAACUUAGAACUGUCACCAGGCACCCACAUCCUAGAGACAGCCCCAUAGCCAGCUCCCAUGGUGGGAGACGCUCAGGAGAGCAAGUUGUUCUCAUGCUGCAUCCCCACAUCUCCAGGCUCCUGCUUGAGGAGGGCCCAGAGUGAGAGCCUUUUCCCACGAUGCGACACAGGCUCAUCCCUCAGCUCAGGCGCCAUUGGCCAAAUCCAAAGGCGCCCCCAGGUCAUCUUGAGCCAAGACACACUCAGUCCAAACUACAGCAGAACAGCGUGGUCCUUCCAGCCUCAAAUCCUAUCCCGACCCACCUUCUGCAGAGCCUGCCUGGAGGGCUGGAGGGAAGGGAAGCCUGAAGGUCUCAGAUCCAGGUGAACUGGGCCAGCCCUGCUUAUGGCUUUGUUUACAGUCCUGCUGGGGCUGGAGAGAUAGGGUGACACAGAGAGGGAAGGGGUUUCUCUCUCACUUCCCCAUCUGUCUGUGUCACUGUGGGAUAAGUACCACUGCUGUCCCAGGAGUUACAGUAAUAGUCAGCCUCAUCUUCCACCUGAGCCCCAGUGAUGGUCAAGGAAGCUGUGUUUUCUGAGCUGGAGCCAGAGAAUCGGUCUGGGAUUCCUGAGGGCCGGUUGUUGUUACCAUAGAUGACCAGCACAGGGGCCUGGCCCGGCUUCUGCUGGUACCAGCUUGGAUAAUAGCUUCUGAGGCUCUCUCCCUGGCAGGUGAUCCUGGCUGUCUGUCCCAAGGCCACAGACACUGCAGGGUCCUGAGUCAGCUCAGAAGAAACCACAGAGCCUGCAAGAGAAGACAGGAGAGGUGUCUGAGGAUGAGGGUCUCAUUCCCAGAGCCUUUCCCCCUGCAUCACUCCCUGUGCUGAGCUAAAGGUCAGGGCUAGGCUCAUCCCUAGUUCUGCAGGGGCUGAGCCCUGGGAGGCAGCACCUGUGCAGAGAGUGAGGAGGGUGAGCAGGGGAGGGGUCCAGGCCAUGGUGGAGACACCCCAGAGCUCUGCCUCUGAGCCCACAGCUAAGGAGGAACCUCCAGUCCUCUCUUAUCAUAGGAAGGGGAGGCUCUUCAUGCAAAUCUACUUCCUUUAUUCUUGUGUCUUGUUAGGUGGCUUUGGUGAGCAGUGGAUGCAAAUCUGUUCUCCAUUCCCUGAAAUAUUUGUCCAGGUUCUUGUCUGAGCCCUAAGCCUGAGGGCUUCUCUGAGCAAUUUCCUAAGGUCAUAAAGGGCCAAGUGUGUUUUCAGAUUUACCCAAUAGAAGAGGCCUCAAAGGAAGCAGCAGUCAUGCCCUUUGCACUUGAGCUUUACCAGAGGACUUGGACUCAUUAGGGGCCUCAGACUAAACCUCACAGUGCCCCCUAGUGCACACAGCGUGAAUGGCAUUUUCUGUACAUCCCUAGGUCACUCAGAAGGGCUGCUUAUUAGCCUAUAAUACAUGCCAGAUGUAAUGGGGAGGGUUUUACAAGAGUUACCUCAAGAAGACUUUUAUAAUAUAGAUAGAAUGAUGGGAGCCCUAUGCUCAAAGCCCAUCUUUAUUAGCGAAUCAUUAUUAGGAGGGUAAAUGUUUUUCCCAAGCCCUCCAGGCAGUAGUGGGUGGAGUCCAGAUUCCAUCCAGAAGAUGCGCCUCAGAGCCUGGCCUUCCAGCCCCGCCCUGCCCCGCCUCCUGCGCCCUGCCCCGCCUCCUCCUUCUCCCUCAUCUAAGGUCUUCGGCAUCUCUCUUGUUUUUCUUUGCUAGAGCUCCUGAAAAUUAUACAAAAGAACUAUGACCUAAAUGGCAGAAACGUAUUUUCUCCCAUUUCUGAGGCUGGAAAAUCCACGAUCGCGGUGUUGGUUGUGUGGUUUCGCCUGAGGCCUCUGCCCGUGGGUGACCUGCAGGUCGCUGCCCCUUGCUGUGUCCUCACAUGAUGUUUCCUCUGCACGCUCGCUGCUGGCGUCUCUUUUCUGUGUGUGCAAAAUUUUUCUUUUAGGAGGCCAGUCAUGUUGGAUAAGAAUCCACCCUAAUGUCUUCAUUUUCACUUAGUCACCUCUUUAAAAAUCCUAUGUGCAGUUUCAGUCACACACUGUGCAUUACAGCUUCAAGGCAUGGAUUUUGGGGGACAUAAUUCAUCCAAUAACCCCUCACCCUAUGGACUCCAAAAAACUCAUGUCUCUCUCACUUGUAAAAACAUUUACCUCAUCCUAGCAGCCCAAAUUCUAAACUAACUCAGCAUCAACUCUAAGACCCAACUCUUAUUUAUAUAUAAUUCAAAUUAAGUGUGAGUGAUUCUCCAGGGUGAUUCAUCCUGAGGGUUUAAAGGAAAACAGCUUUGGGGGUGGUGGUUCAUCUCUAGUCUCCUGUUCUCAUCUGGGUGUCCCGAAAAGUAAACUCCUACUUUAUUAAAACGGAAAUAAAGCAGUGAGUCAACAUCAGCAACAUUUCGAGUUAGAUGUGAAAAAUUCACAUUCUUAAAUAGAGAAUAUAAUAAUUUAAAUGCCAAUAAAAUUGAAUUUUAUAAUCAGUAGCCAUGGGCUAUUUCUGACAGCGUUUGGAAAAGAACCAUAAUUGAUAAGAAAAUAUAACCAAAAAACACAGAAGUUAAAUUGUUUUUAGAGCAGAAUAUGUCUGAAUUGACUAAGAUAAAUCAUACACAGAAAUAAUGUAGCCCAAAGAAAAUUAACCUUUUGUAAGCAUAUUACAUUACUAAAUCCAGUUUCUGCAUUGAGCAUCAACAUUUUGGGGUACAAAUAAAGAAACCUCUCAAUGGUUAUACAAAAGGGUCAUUGUUUCCUACUUCAUGCUUCAGUUUACUUGUGGCUUAAUGGUGCUUUGGCAGCGGGAGAGAAGGAUGUUCCAGAAGAUGUUUCUUUCAUCUAAGAAAGGGAAAAUAUUCCUUUACACAAAAUGAUAAUUUGCAGGAUAACAUAUUUCCACUAUCACAGCCUGUUCUUCUCAUGGCAACUUAGUUGGGGGACUUAACAGUUUAAAAGCUCAAAGUCUCUUCUUUAUCCCAUUUUACAUCCUGAGUUUUACAAUCUGUGUGCUUUAUAAAAUUUUGUAAUACAUUUAAAACUUGAACUUCAUUUAUUCAUUUGCUUAUGCUGUUCAGACACCAGUGACCUUGUGCAUUUUUGGUUUCAGCUACAAGGCUGAUGCUAAGACCUUUUAUCGCAGCCCUUACUGGAUCACUCCCAACUUUUUUUUUUUGAGACGGAGUUUCACUCCUGUUACCCAGGCUGGAGUGCAAUGGCGAGAUCUUGGCUCACCGCAACCUCCGCCUCCUGGGUUCAGGCAAUUCUCCUGCCUCAGCCUCCCGAGCAGCUGGGACUACAGGCAUGCGCCACCAUGCCCAGCUAAUUUUUUGUAUUUUUAGUAGAGACGGGGUUUCACCAUGUUGACCAGGAUGGUCUCGAUCUCUUGACCUCAUGAUCCACCCGCCUCGGCCUCCCAAAGUGCUGGGAUUACAGGCGUGAACCACCGCGCCCGGCCUCACUCCCAACUUGAUGCGAGCUUCCUUGCCCAUUUGCUGCUCCCUCUCCCUCUAACUUUCCACCUGGGAGGAGUCUCUAUUCCUGAUCUACUAAAGCUCUCACAAAACUGAAAGCAAAGGGAUGAAGAUGAAAGUCAUAAGCCUGUGACACACGGCUGUCUUGAGCAGACACAAGAUCCUAUCAAAUAGAUGGGACAAGUAUGUUCUUAUCCAAAGAAAAAUCUCAGGCCACUACAGGAGGUGAAAUACAGUGACCCUCACAAGGAGAUCUCCACCCAGAACACACGCUGGUGCAAUUUUCAAACUUCAAAUGACCCUACAAACCAGGGACCAUUAAACCACAUCCUGUGGGACAGGCCUGGACUGGCACCUUUUUAAAAAUGGCUCAGAAGUGACACUGGUUUUUAUAUUACUUAAUGAUUAUAUUGCACAUGGUGCUGUCAGUACCCACAUGUUAUCCCCAAAGUUGACUUAUGUGUGGCAAAGACUAAAAUACUUAUCUAGACAUUUAAGGAAAACUUUACCAAAUCCGAAAAAGGAAUGGGUGCUGAAAUAUUUGAGCAAAGGCUCAACCUCAAGCAAACAGGAGAAAUCAAAAAUCAAAGUGUAACAAGAUAACUUUUUAUAUCUGAUAGGUUGGCAAAAAUGUGUACUUCCACCAAUGAAUUCCAAUCAAGAUUAGG